rnacentral:snoRNA from 1 species
UGGAGGACUGAGAAGGUGAGGCAGCUCUGCACCAUGCUGCCGUCCACUGGUUAAGGCCUCUGAAAGCGAAGGUCGCCAGGGCAGAGGAUGCCCCUCUGCCACCUUCAGAGGGGCAAUGCCCUGCUAGCCAAAAGUGU